UACGCACACUAUUAAAACCGGGCACUGAUGUCGGUGUUCUGGUGUCGGAAGUGUGCAAAAACAAGCAGGCCAGGAUUUCGCUAACACCAUUAGGACUGCUUGUCCCAUGACUGGCGUUUGAUAGUGACCUGGGCCACAUGU
ensembl:snoRNA SNORA62 Small nucleolar RNA SNORA62/SNORA6 family